rnacentral:lncRNA from 1 species
CUCUUCCUCUCCUGGAUGGUGCCAACUAGAAGCCACCUGGAGCAGACAAUGUUUUUGCUAUUCCACGGCCAAGUCCCACUUCCUUCCCAAAGGAACCCCGACUUUGUCCUGGCACCACCCUCCUCCGCCUAGGUACAGGCUUCGGGGAGGAGAGUCCCAUCCACAGCCCUGGAGAAAGCUAUUCCUGCCACAGCUUCAGAUGUCCAACAAUAUCAACAGAAAAGAUAAAAAUAUCACAAAACUUCUUCCUCCCAGCAUCCAAAUUUCAGUGGAUUUUCUCUGCUUGAGCCUCACGCAUCCUUCUUAUUCCUAUCCUUGAUGCUGAGGGCUGGGGCCAGGAAUCUUGAUUGACAACUCCCCAGAAACACCUGGAAGAAGACAGAGCAAUUUCCUCAAAGAUCUAAGAGGAUUGAACAAAAAUCUGUAUACAUCAUCUAAUUAAAUAAAACUAAUUACACUUUAUCUUGGUUGAUGUAAUUUAUUGUCAGCAUGAAUUGCUUCAGCCAUUUUUCCGCAACCCA